GGAUGAACGCUAGCUACAGGCUUAACACAUGCAAGUCGAGGGGUCUUUUUAGCUUGCUUUAAAAGACGACCGGCGCACGGGUGAGUAACGCGUAUCCAACCUGCCAUUCAUAUUGGGAUAGCCUUUCGAAAGAGAGAUUAAUACCGAAUAACAUACUGAGUUUGCAUGAAAACAGUAUGAAAGCUGAGGCGAUGAAUGAUGGGGAUGCGUUCCAUUAGGUAGUAGGCGGGGUAACGGCCCACCUAGCCAACGAUGUCUAGGGGUUCUGAGAGGAAGGUCCCCCACACUGGAACUGAGACACGGUCCAGACUCCUACGGGAGGCAGCAGUGAGGAAUAUUGGUCAAUGGUCGGAAGACUGAACCAGCCAAGUAGCGUGAAGGAUGGAAGGUUCUAUGGAUUGUAAACUUCUUUUAUGCGGGAAUAAAACCUCCCACGUGUGGGAGCUUGUAUGUACCGUAUGAAUAAGCAUCGGCUAACUCCGUG
rnacentral:rRNA from 1 species